rnacentral:sRNA from 1 species
UACCUGCGGACGGGAGGCAGUCGCUGAUU